CUUGUUUCUCCGGGUGGAUCGACCGUAGCGAAUUUUUUAUUACCCAUACCUAGUUAUAUAGGUGUAUAAUAAUAAACCGUCGUCGUCGAGACAAAUGGGUUAUAUAUUAUUAGAAGAUAGCGGGCUAUUAUAUUUCCGAAGGAAAAUCAUCACUACUUCACCCAGGUAUAUAAGUUUUUUUUCUUCUUGAGUCGGCCGACUAACAAAAAAAAAAAUAUCCCGUUCGGAAGUCACACGAAAUUAUUUUGGUCACCGCGUUUUCCGCGAUCGUUUUCACUCAGUUAUUUACCUAAUACCUAUAUGACGUAUUAUAAUACAUACUUCACAGCAGGCUCGGAGGAUUUGCAAUACCGGAUUGAAAACUCGGUGGGCAGCCAAACACUUUAUAUUUUUGGACUGCUAUAAAAAUACAAAUAUU